CAACCAAGGCAGGGUUGUGGAUAUUGACAAAUUACUUUAGGGCACACUGGAGACCAACUUUUGUUGCACCCUGACAAUUCCACACAAUAAAUGAGUAAUCGAAGGUAUAAAAAUAAGGGAAUAGAGGAGCUGAUGCUCAGAAAAAAGACUAUGCUUGCUCCUUCUGAAGGGCAUCAACAACGCUUGAAAGGAGACUUACAUCAUUGUUGACAAGCUCUUAAAUUUGGGACAUAAGGGGGUUGAUCGUAGUGGAAGUAGUGGAUGUAGGUGUCUCGUCCCUUUUUUUUAGCCUAAACUUGUUUUUUAAAGGUCUUAUUAAUUUUUAUGCCUUUGGUGAUACCAAGUCUAUCCGGCUAUUUGACUGCCAGCCUGAAGCGAUCUCUCAAGGAGAUCGUUGGUGGCAUGGAGCUAUUGGGGGAGGACCAAUUAAGUUCGUGGUCUUGGUCCACCCUAUCUUUAAUUAUUACAACUUAUUCUUU
rnacentral:lncRNA from 1 species